rnacentral:snoRNA from 1 species
GGACGAUGAGGAGAAAGCACCUCCUCUGAGCCGGCGUGGAUGCUGAAACGCCCACGGUCCGAGU